rnacentral:rRNA from 1 species
CCGGCCUGCGGCGGAAUGUUGCGUAAAGGGAAAGGUCGUAUUCAAAUCCUUCAGCCACGCGAGCGCUAAGUCAGCCNCGAAUUGGCUUGCCCGACUAACGGAGGGUAUUGUCUCCACGGAGGGUGUCAGACCCGUGUGGGCGCGUGUUAAAGCUGAAUGGGGAAGGCCUCUUCCCUGAGAGUCGCGUUGCUUUGGCAUGCAGCGCUAAGCAGGUCGUAAACUCGAUCUAAGGCUAAAUAUAUCCACAGGACCGAUAGCGAACAAGUACCGUGAGGGAAAGUUGAAAAGCACUCUGAAGAGAGAGUCAAAAGACCGUGAAACCGCUCAGAGUAUAAGCCCAUGGAGUUCGGAAGGCAUACCGCAGAGGAGUAUUUCGUGAUACGGGAGGAAGGUCUGUCAGGUAGGGGCAUUGAAUUGAAAUCCCGCCGACGCACGGGGGAGGGCUCGGGCGUGAGACUACGGUGUAGCGUCCGGUCAACCCCUUGAGUGCGGAUGGACGAGGCUGCGUAUCGCAUGCGGGAACCGCCCACCACGGCACGUUGUGAGGUCACCCACAGGCUCAAACUGUCGAUCGCGCGUUCUUCUCGCUUAGCACUCGAGUGUCGUGGGCAUCCCUCUCGCCGUCCUCGGUGGAGGGUGUCAGACACGCGCGGCGAGGUUCGAUCCAAACGAACCGGACGACGACCGAGAUAAACCUGGUAUGAUCCUCGUGCGACGAGCCGCUUUCUGGCCAGACGUGCAUCCAGGCCUCGCUCAUGUGCCGAGCGAGGCUGCGACCAUGGGCGGUUUGCAGCCCUCUGACGCCUCCCGAUAACGGGGGUGCGGACAAGGCCUCCGCCGGAUGCGUGUCUGAGUGGUGUUAAGUCCGAUACCAUCGGCCACGUCUCGAAACACGGGCCAAGGAGUAUAGCAUGUGUGCAAGUCUAAGGGUCCCACAAAACCCGGAGGCGGAGUGAAAGCAAGGUUGUGGCGGGUGAGCCCUCACGGGCAAAACCUCGUCAGCCGUAGCGCCACUCGUGGCGCUUGGCUUGAGCACGAGCUGAUACUACUGUCAGUGGAUAAAUCCUGAGGUAGUCGCAAGCUCCGGGCUCGCGUACAGCACUGGUCGCUUGCGGCUGUGUUGCGAGCACCGNGAAGCANGCAUGCUAUGACCCGAAAGAUAGUGAACUAUGCCUGGCGAGGGCGAAGCCCCAGGAAACUGGGGUGGAGGCCCGUAGC